AAGUCUGUUCAAUCACGUGUCUUUAAAGCACUGUAACAAAUGAAGUAUUUGACAUAAAGCGCUCCCCUUAACAUGAAUAGAAAGCACGGAUUUAAAACUCUUUUCAAGUUUUUAUUUGACACCGAUUGAUCUUGGAAAACCGGGGAUAUGAUCCUUUUAAAUUCAUAAUUGUAACUAUGAAGGAACUACAUUAUUGUGACCCUGUUUGGCCCCCCCAAGAAAAAAAUCCUAGACACGCCCCUGCGCGGCCGGCUGCCGAGAGCCGGCCCUCACCUUCAUUGCGCUUUGGGGUUUCAUCGCUGGGAGAACCCUCCGGGAAAGGAUGGAGGUGGUAGAGGAAAGCAUGAAGGUGUGAUUGCCGGUUCCGGUAUGGUACUACGAUGGCAGUGUGGUGCCGAGGUUCACAGUCCGGCGGACGGUAGCGUCCGCCUGGCAACACCAAGGGGUUCCUUGUUUUGAUCUCUUCUAAAGUCAGUGCAGAGGGGACACAACCUGGCAAUCUGUCAGCGGUGGUCCUGUCACGGGGGAUCCAGUGCCAGAGUUCUGAGGCUGGGCAGGACAGACACCAAGCCUUUGAAGCCCCCGAGGGAGAAGUAGAGCACAAAGGCAAACUGGAAGCCCAGCAGCAAGGCAAGUGUGCAAUAGGAGUUCAAAGAGCGUCCGCACCAUGCCAUAAUGAAAGGUGCUGAUUCCACAAUGAAGCGGGAUAGGUACAGUUAAAGAGUGGAAGUGGAGCAAGGAAAGGAAAGGAAAGGAAAGGAAAGGAAGAGGACAAGGUGGAUGGACAGUGCGAGGGGGGAAGGCUCAGACGUACAUGAGGAGGGUGACUGUCAUCAGGGACAGAUGGCAGUCGUGGUGAAGCUCAGUCUGGACUGCCAUCACCUCCAUUCCCCACUAAGAAAACACACACAGAGGACUAAUUUCACCAACAGUGAUUUCCUGUAUUUCUGUAUUUUGGCUGCCUUAGCCAGGUCCGUGCUGUCUAUAAGGCAAGCUAGGCAAAUGCCUAGGGGAGCCGCAGCAACCAAAAGGGCAUCAAGAAAAAUGUUCAAAUAAUGAUAGCAGUAUUCAAAAAAUUAUACAAGACAAUUUAACAAAAGAACAACAAAACAUAUUGUAAUAAGUUGCUAAAUAAUAAUGAAAUCAUUUUUCUAGUGUGCCUUCUGCCCAUUUCACUGUUUCUUGUGAUGCGAUGAUUUCACCACACACUCUAGUCUCUCGUCUUUGUUGCCUAGGGUACCAAAUUGGUCAGAAACGGCCCUGGCCUUAGCUAUGGAAGAAGCCAUUGUAAAUUGGGGCCAAUAAGUAUUUAG